AACGAACGCUGGCGGCAUGCCUAACACAUGCAAGUCGAACGCCCCGCCAGGGGAGUUGCUGACCGGUUAUUAACGCGUGGGAACAUACUCUUUUCUACGGAAUCUCUCUGUGAAACUGGAAUUAAUACCGUAAACGCUCUACAAUGGAAGGAUUUAUCGGGGAACGAUUGGUGCGCGUUGGAUUAGCUGGCUGGUGGGGUAAAGUACUUCCAAGGCGGCUAUCCAUAGAUGUUCUGAGAGUAUGAUCAGCCACAUUGGGGCUGAGACAAGGCCCAAACUCUCAGGGGAGGCAGCAGUGGGGAAUAUGGGACAAUGGGCGAAAGCCUGAUGCAGCCAUGCCGCGUAAGUGAUGAAGUCCUGAGGGUUGAAAAGCUCUGUCACCGAUGAAGAUAAUGACGGUAGUAGGAGAAGAAGCCCCGGCUAACUUCGUG
rnacentral:rRNA from 1 species